rnacentral:tRNA from 2 species
GGAGAGGUGCUGGAGUGGCUGAACAGGGCUGCCUGCUAAGCAGUUGCACCGGCUAAAACCGGUGUCGGGGGUUCGAAUCCCCCCCUCUCCGCCA